GGUCUGGCCCACCGGUCGCUCUCUCCACUCCCUGCAGUCUGUGCUACCUCCUGCCUUGUUCUGACCCACGCUCAUCCCCAUAUCUGCCUUGCAAUACACCCAGCCUGCUCCCGGUGCUGUUCCCCUGUCAUCUGCUCCCACCCUCCUCUAACCCUCUGCCUAGCCCCACAUCUGGAGCCACAUCUGGAUCUCAUCAUAACGGCCCUAGAACACCUACAAUACAAGACCUGGUCCUUGUCCGGUCUUCCUGGACCCCACUUGUCACCUGGUGAAGGGAUCCUGUGGUCUGAAAGAGGCUAUGUUCGAUGCUGACCUGUGACUCUGUAGAAGAUGGGAAAUUGUGUUGCAGAGACCUGAGAAAGCAACAGUCUCUCAGAGAAGGGAGGUCCCUCCCAGCGUAGCUGCAAAUCAGGCCCAAGGUUCCUCAGGACAGACCCUGCUGCAAGGCUGGAGCUCCAGUCACUGCUGUGUCACGUGCACUCCUGUGGAUUCCCCACAUGUGACCAACAGAAGAGGACAGAGAGGCAGAUUCUGUCCUGGACAGCUUCUUCAGCCUUCCAUGCCAUUUGAUGUGGUCUGAUUUUCUCCUGCACUGCUUUAGCUACAACGGGUCUUCUUCCUCUAGAGUCCCUCCCUAGACUGUGGCAAGACUAAACCAAUCGAACAGACCCAUCUCUCCUCCCUGUGUCUGAGUCAGCCACGUGCAAUAACAAAAUGCAUCCUCUUUCCUGGACCAUUGUGGGUCCGCAUCCCACCCCGUGGCAGGGCACGGCCGCUUGGGAAGAGAAACGCAGGGAGCUUGACUACGCUUAUCCCACCCACGCUGCUGCCUGCAUGGAGCAAGAGAGCAGAGGAGGUGGCGGGAGGCACCACUGGCGUGAAGAAAGAGUGUAUGCAGAUGGACUGAGAUGCAGCCAUGGAGGGGCGUGGCUAACCCUCUCAGAGGACAAUCCUGGGGUAAUUGACCACAUGACAGACAGUAGCCCUUCUGACCUUCUAAGCAAAAUGAUACCCUUAUCAUCGUUCAAUCAGAGGCUUGCUAAGUCGGCGCGGGGAGACGAGACUGCGACAACAAUCAUCGAUGCUUCCGGCAGCCCCUCGCGCCCGAUCCGAUGCACAGCACCGCCAUUAUCAACACAUGAAAGGCUUCCUCAAUUUCACUCUUGAUCAUCAUCAGCCACAACAGAUAUUUAUUGACUGGCUGUUGUGUGCAGGAAAUGUGGCCAGGUGCUGAGGAAGAAAAACUGGGCGAGAAAAUUCUCCAAGGAUUUUUGAAAAGGGGAAGAGAGGUACCAAUAAGCAAGCGAUCUGCCUCCAAAGUGUCCUGGGUGUAGAAAGAAGACAAACGCAGUAGCUUUGAUAAAGGAGGAUGGUCCGGACUGACAACGUAUACUUUCAGGUUGCUCCUCAUGUGAUUUUUGCCAAAUGCAAGAAAAUGAUACCAGCCUAGUUUCUCAACUAAAUGCUGAGUGGCUGUGGGGAGGAAACCCUGCCCAGAAUAUAUCUGUCUCUUCAAAUUUUUUCUUUGUUUUGUUUUAAUAAACAGUUUCAUGCAGCCUA
rnacentral:lncRNA from 1 species